AGAUUGAACGCUGGCGGCAGGCCUAACACAUGCAAGUCGAGCGGUAGAGAGGUGCUUGCACCUCUUGAGAGCGGCGGACGGGUGAGUAAUGCCUAGGAAUCUGCCUAGUGGUGGGGGAUAACGUUCGGAAACGGACGCUAAUACCGCAUACGUCCUACGGGAGAAAGCGGGGGACCUUCGGGCCUCGCGCCAUUAGAUGAGCCUAGGUCGAUUAGCUAGUUGUGAGGUAAUGGCUCACCAAGGCGACGAUCCGUAACUGGUCUGAGAGGAUGAUCAGUCACACUGGAACUGAGACACGGUCCAGACUCCUAGGGAGCAGCAGUGGGGAAUAGUUGGACAAUGGGACGAAAGCCUGAUCCAGCCAUGCCGCGUGUGUGAAGAGGUCUUACGGAUUGUAAAGCUAAC
rnacentral:rRNA from 1 species